UGGGGAAUAUUGCACAAUGGGGGAAACCCUGAUGCAGCGACGCCGCGUGAGCGAAGAAGGUUUUCGAAUCGUAAAGCUCUGUCCUAUGAGAAGAUAAUGACGGUAUCAUAGGAGGAAGCCCCGGCUAAAUACGUGCCAGCAGCCGCGGUAAUACGUAUGGGGCGAGCGUUGUCCGGAAUUAUUGGGCGUAAAGGGUACGUAGGCGGUCUAUUAAGUCAGGUGUGAAAGCGUGAGGCUUAACCUCAUUAAGCACUUGAAACUGAUAGACUUGAGUGAAGGAGAGGAAAGUCGAAUUCCUAGUGUAGCGGUGAAAUGCGUCGAUAUUAGGAGGAAUACCGGUGGCGAAGGCGACUUUCUGGACUUUUACUGACGCUCAGGUACGAAAGCGUGGGUAGCAAACAGG
rnacentral:rRNA from 1 species